rnacentral:rRNA from 1 species
UGUUAAAAAGCUCGUAGUCGGGUCAAGAGUCGGACAGUGCACGGUGGCCCCAUUAGUCAAUUUGGCUCCGGUCAUGUUGGCGGUGGCGGAUCAACCCCGUGUGCCAAACUGUCCGCUCUAACAGACCGAAACGGUUCCCUGUGAGUAGGCCCCUUCAUUGGGGUCGAAAGCGUCUACGCAUCAACCAUAUGCAUACGGGACGUCGGUCAAAGUUACUGUGAACAAACCAGCGUGUCCAAAGCAGGCUUUCGCCUGAAUGUUCGAGCAUGGAAUAACAAGGGAUCGAUUCUCUCGGUUCUUUUUGUUGGUUUUAAACCCGAGAAGGAGUAAUUCAGGCCACGGUGUCUGAGUUGGGUUUCCCGAGGCUUCGGCUGAGGCCCCAAUUAGGCCGUGUCCUUACGGGAUCAAUAGGGACUGACGGGGUCGUACGUACUGUCGCGUCAGAGGUGAAAUUCGUAGAUCGCGGCAAGACGAACUUCUGCGAAAGCAUUCGACAAGAAUGUCUUCAUUAGUCAAGAACGAGAGUGUGGGGAUCGAAGAUGAUCAAAUACCGUCGUAGUCCACUACUGUAACAAUGCCGUCUCAGGAUUGAGAAGUGAACUGAAUGACAUUCACGGCACUAACCCCUGAAACGAGAAAUCAAAGAUUAUGGGUUCAGGGGGGAGUACAUUCGCAA